AUGGCCCACACUAUGCAUAUUUGAUCCUACUUAACACAUAUUUUGUCAUUGAAUGUUACUGAAGGCGACACCUUUUGCACCCGUUCACCUCUCAGGAAACAGGACGCCAUGUGCUGGAGAAAACACAGCAGGGACUAUGGGAUAUGGAGCCGAGGCGGUGGGAGUGGUGCUGCUAGAAACCAGUGUAUCUGGGAGGUCUUGUGACCGGCCAAUUCGAUCAAGGUUUUCCGUUGUUUUCCUUGGUCCCAGAGCAAAUGCUGAGG